UUAGCGACAGAAGAAGCACCGGCUAACUCCGUGCCAGCAGCCGCGGUAAUACGGAGGGUGCGAGCGUUAAUCGGAAUUACUGGGCGUAAAGCGCAUGCAGGUGGUUUGUUAAGUCAGAUGUGAAAGCCCGGGGCUCAACCUCGGAAUAGCAUUUGAAACUGGCAGACUAGAGUACUGUAGAGGGGGGUAGAAUUUCAGGUGUAGCGGUGAAAUGCGUAGAGAUCUGAAGGAAUACCGGUGGCGAAGGCGGCCCCCUGGACAGAUACUGACACUCAGAUGCGAAAGCGUGGGGAGCAAACAGGAUUAGAUACCCUGGUAGUCCACGCCGUAAACGAUGUCUACUUGGAGGUUGUGGCCUUGAGCCGUGGCUUUCGGAGCUAACGCGUUAAGUAGACCGCCUGGGGAGUACGGUCGCAAGAUUAAAACUCAAAUGAAUUGACGGGGGCCCGCACAAGCGGUGGAGCAUGUGGUUUAAUUCGAUGCAACGCGAAGAACCUUACCUACUCUUGACAUCCAGAGAACUUUCCAGAGAUGGAUUGGUGCCUUCGGGAACUCUGAGACAGGUGCUGC
rnacentral:rRNA from 1 species